AGAGCCUGGGAGUCAGGUGGGGCCGGCUGGGAGCUGGAGGUUACGCGGUCCAGGCAGGCUGGGGCGGGAGCAGCUAUUUUAGGACCCUGUGUUGAUGAGCAAGCGAAGAAAGCUGAUCUGCAGAGUAAGGCAGGAAAAUGGAGCUCGGAGGGCAGCAGGGAUGCGACCCGGCGUGGCAUCAAAGCGGGGGAAACAGGCAGUCAGACCAUCCUGCCUAAGAGCUGAAGGUGGAGGAGGAGACAGAGGGGCCGUGUCCCUGUUGCAACCCUACCAGGAAGAGCCUUUGGGCAAGACUGUCACAUUCACCGCACACUUGUUAAGUCCGCGGAAUCCAGACAAACAAAACGAGACACUUACUCAACCUACGCACUGUUGUUUGCUUCCGGCAUCGUUAUUACUCUUCCUGUGGCUGGUACCCAGCAGCAAUGAGAACGAAAAGUCUGACACCACGGCGGAUGGUUUUUCUCUCAAUCCCUCUGGGCAGAGUCCUCUAGGGCACCUGUGCCACGUAUUUGAUAGAAUCGUGGCAUCUCGACGUGAGAAGUGGCUCCCUGAAGUUCUCCUGCUUGACUGCUCGCUCCUGCAGAAUUCCCAUCAGCCCAAGGGAAGAGUAUACAGUCUUGGCCGCCUUCAGUGAUGGGGAGCUCAGGACCAGUCAAGGCACCUAUGCCAGCGGAGCAGGUGACAGAAGCACAGCGGACCAGCCCCUGCUGACAGUUACAGAGCAAAGAACAGGAAGGAUGGAGUGGGAACCCAAGAUCCUGGCUUGCGGAGGGCUCUCUGACCUGUUGGCCCCCAGGGAAGAGGCCCGGCUGGUGCUUCAUGCCACAUGCACUCCGGUGGCCCGUUCCCAGCGCCAAAAGUUGUUUAGAUGUGCUGUCCACCCUACCUGGGACCACGGAGCGCUGGAAAUGCGGCCAGGGGACAUGAGAAGGGCUCCAGGUACAGAAUGCACCAUGGGAUUUGAAAAGAAGAGUGUAGGGGCGCCUGGGUGGCUCAGUCGGUUAGGCAUCCGGCUUCGGCUCGGGUCAUGAUCUCGCGGUCCGUGAGUUCGAGCCCCACGUCAGGCUCU